AGGCUACCCAUGUCAGAUUGGAAAAUCGGCCAAUUAGAUUGCUCUAAAACGCCAUGUCAAUUAGGGAAUAAGAUAUUAGUUUUUAUUUGUUUCUCUUCGUCUUCACCGAUCGAUUCCUCUGCACUGCGGUUAUUGUAAUCCCCCUCUUCGUGAAUCUUGAAGAAGCAAUGGCUACCGCCAUGAAAUCCACCGGCAAGCCUCCCGUCGUUGUGUCUUUAGUGACGUCUCAGAAGAACCAGCCGAAAUUGAUCUCUGUGAUUUCGGUAAAUCCAUUUCUGGGAGGCAAGAAACAUAGCAAAAGGCAUGACCUUUAUUGGGUUGAAACUCCUCCAAUACGACGAACAUGGGACUGUGAUGCAAGGUUUAAACAAGCACGUACUCGCCUCAUCCCAAAGCAGAAACAACUUACAGCCUUCUGAAUUUUCAGGCUACCAGAAGCAAGGAGAUUUAACAAGUUGCUGUUCAGAGUUUAACAAUUUUUUUUUGAAUGAAAAGUUUAACAGUUUGUUUCUUGCACAACUUUGUUCUCUCCGUGCUUGACAACAUCAGCCUCUCUAUUGACGCAGAAAGGUUCAGGUUCCUCUCUCAUGACGAUAUCCAAGGUCUCAGGGGUGAUAUCUACGGGUAAUCUGUCCCAUUUUAAAAAUAUUCUCCAUAUUAAUUUGUUUGUCUGUAUGUUAAUUUAGAUUUUUUUGGCUACAAUUGACUACUAAUCUUCCUGUCGAUGUUGUUGGCUACUUGAAGCCGGUCAAUGAACAGUCUCUCAUUGACUGUUCCGUUGAAGACGAAGUGGAAAUAGCAACACGUGUCGUCCUUUUAGUUUAUUUGCAGUCAAAAGAGGGACCUGUUAUGAAGAAUUAACUUUGGGCCUAGACUGCAAAAGAUUUCUACAAGAUGGAGAAGAUUCAGUGGAAACACUCCCGCCUUGUUUUUAGUCAUGAUGGUGAACACAAAACGCCUUGCAGGUUCAGUUCUAACCCAGGGAUUUUUAAUCUGGUUAAUGCUGAGGAGAUUACUAAAGCUGAGACAAUGACAAUUCGGCAAAUCUUUGCUUGCAUCAAGUUGGAGUCCGCCAAGGUAAAAUAAAUGUUUAAGAUAACUCAGUAGAAAAACGUUAGUGCAUCUUGAGAUCCCACUUGCUACCCACGAUGAGGUUGUUGUGCCUCCUGCAAAAGUAGUUAGUGCAUCUUUCAAUGGCUCUGGAUUCGUUGCUGAUGAGAGAUAUGUGAGUGGCAGUGCCAUUGACGAAUCACAAAAGGCUAACCGUGCUAAACAUGGAAAAUAGAGCUUCUACCACUCAUUUCAUUCGGUGCAUUGUGGCUGCCUUCGUUAUUUCCAGUUCGAGCCAAAACUAUGUUUUUCCGUUUUACUUUGAACGUCCACUCUUGAUUUGGUCUAAUAUUUGCAAACAAUAUGCUUCUUUGUUUAGAUUUUGAUUUCAUUAGAAUGCUUAAUGAUUUACAGCUUUCAAAAGAAGCAAUGGGGUCUAUUUUAUAUUUGUGACUA